rnacentral:lncRNA from 1 species
UUUUUUUUUUUUUUGUUUUUAACAAGGCAAAAUGAGAUAUAUUAACAAAAACAGCCUCCUCAGCACAAGAUGUACCGAGAUAGGCUACCGAAGUUUACAAAGAGGCUUUGGCUGCCAGUUAAUUUGACAUAAUCAACAAACAUCCAGUCACUACAUAAAAAUCUAAAUUAGUUGAACUUUUUUGUGCAAUUUUAACUAUUUUAGAUCUUUAUCAGAUAAAUUAUUCUGCAGUAAGUCCAGUACUACACGGUGUCUUUCAUCGAUACGCAUUUAGAUGAUAGUUAGAUGAUCUUGAUGUGUCAAAAAAAAAAAUUGUGGUAUACUGGUAAAGGAAUUUUGUCGAAGGUUCGCAGUAAGUCCAUAAAGCUGCAUGUAUUGAAUUUUGAAUUUUGAAUUUUGAGAUUUGAGCAUACAUAAUCAUAAGUGUGUUCUAUAGUUAGUUAUAUUGAAUCUUUAUUUUCAGUAUAGCAGCAGCUUUGCAACCUGUGAUACCGCUAUAGUGUUUUUUGGGGUAAGCUGCUCUGCCUCACUAUCUGGGGGAUGNNNNNNNNNNNNNNNNNNNNNNNNNNNNNNNNNNNNNNNNNNNNNNNNNNNNNNNNNNNNNNNNNNNNNNNNNNNUAGAACAUACAGUCAUUCUAUUCGUUGAUGUGUAAUUUCCCAUCUUUGAAAAGAUUUGUCCCUUCCAGUUGAUGCCAUUGCCAACGUGAAAUCCUCCCCUUGUAACCACCUAAGAAAACCAACACAUUUUACACAAACUCGUCCACAAUAAUUCUCAACAAACACAGUUUCACUAACUCACCUCUUUAUAUAAGUUGUAGAGAUCAAGGCGUUUGCCAUUCAGAAUGGCAUCAGGAAACUCGGAAAGCCCUCCUUGGGGAAUCAGUCGGCUAUGCCCCCGGAGAAUCAGAAACUCCAUGACAUCUUUAAGAAAUUCCUCCUACACAGAAAGUUAUAACUUUUAAAAUUUAAAAUUUCAAGAAUAUAUUCUCAUUGGAUAUUUGCAUUAGAGAGUUUGACUAAUCCAGUAUGGUUUAGUAUUAUUAGUAAUAUUUAGGAUAACACCAUUUGAUGGAAUAUGGUUAAAUAUUUUUUCGAAGUGAACAAAAAAAGUAACGACUGUUUCAUGGAAUAUGGAUUCUCAUUGAAUGUUUGCAUCAUUGAGAGGCUUCAGUUUAACAAAUAGAAAAUUUUCAAGUCAUACCUGUGAAAUAAUUGAUUGCUGACUAGUUAAGUUUUUUAAAUCAAAAAAUCCUCACAUAACCUUGGCUAUUAUGUAGUAAUGUAAUACAUCAAAGUUUUAACACGAGUAUAACUUUGGAGACCACACUAUUAUACUAGGCAUCUAAUGAUACUGAAAUGGAUAUUUUAAACAUGGACAAAGGAAAACUCACCUCAGAGCAAGUCUGUACUGGGCCUCUGCUACAGCCAUGUUUCUUCAACGGUAAUGGAUUCAAUGAAAUAACCUGCUUAGAAUGAGAUGAGCUUGAAAAUGAUUUUCUCUGUGUGGCAGAUGAUGAUCCAAUACUACUACGCUUCAAAGGGACGAGUGGCACAUUAGCUUCAACAUGAGCACCACCAAAACCAUUUAUGUCAGAAGGUCCACGAAAAGGUGUCAUUCUAUGGCGACGAACAUGAGGAAUUGGCCUCAUUGCAGAUACUUUUAAUCUCUGCCUAGCUGGAGUUAAUGGUGUGCUAACCCCAUUCACCAUUUUCCUAUCCUUAUCCUCUUCAUCUACAUUUUUAACAGCACCCUGCCCUGCAAAGACACCAUCGUGUAUGUCAGGGCUAUCCCCUUGGCUUGAUUCACACCUCUUUCUUGUAGGAGGGGGAGGCUUCAACCAAAUGGGGGGCUUGCUGAAAACUAAAUUGCCAUUUUCACAUCCAUCUUUCUCGGAGCUUUGAUAGAAGAAAAGUAAGCGCUCGGCAUCAUCUUUCUCAAAAGAAGCUACAGGCAACCCUUGAAUACUAGCAAUGCCAAGUGCGACUAAACUUCGAUAAGAAACAUCAGGUGCUAGCUGUCGCAAAAUCUGAAGAUAGUAACAAGACCUUUAGUUAAGGAUUCAAUUCACAAAUAAAUAUGUUUCUAUGUAGAAUUCCAAUUCUUAUUCUUAUAAUAUACAAAACCUUAGGUGCUACACUCUACAUCCAGGUAUUUAUAGGCAAGAAAACCUUGGCACCAUCCUGCUUCCAUUUCAUUAUUUACCGUGGAAACGUAAAUCAUCUCAUUUGAAAACAGGGAGCACUUCACUGCUCUACUAUAGAAAGCUUAGCAGAACCAUAUUCCCCAUAGGAAAUAGGGCACUAGAGCUAUCGGUUCCGGUUGGUUACUACCUCAACCUUUUCUAAUGAGUAACCUCAAGUGGCCCACCCAACACUAGAGACUACCUCUCAGAUAAUGUAACUCCCUUUCUGUUAUCUCAACUGAAGAAAUCCUUGCCUCGACAUUUCAAAUCCUUGUCAUUUUUUAUGCACUAAUUGUCAUAAUAAACUCUGCUACAAUAUUAUUUUUAAAGAGAAACAGAGGUGUCUUCGAUGAAAAUUCAACUUUUAAGUCUUUUUAUUUUAUCAAACAUAACUACAUGGCUUCUGUUUUCAUAAUAAAACUGCUUUUAAAAAUUACAAAAAAUACUAAUAUUCAGGUAAAGCAUAUAGGACUUGAAUAUUGAUGAAUCUCCAAAGAAGAAACAAGCAAGGGAAUGACAUGUUCAGACAUCACAAUUUUAUUUAAUAAAACAACACUAAUACAGAUAAUAUUGCAAUACGGAGUCUGAAUAAGGCUGAGAUUUAUAAAACCUGCAAAGCCCACUGAGGAAGCUUCAUGCUAACUUCAAAUAUAGUUGCUCCACAAGCUAUUGAGGCAGAUCUGCGAGGCUCAGAGAUAGUCUGUGUCAUUGCUUCACUGUUGAGUUGUGCACGAACUAUUUGACUCUUCUCAAUUAUCUCGUUUUUUAUAUGAUUCUCCAAGAGCUAAAAAGUCAAAAGCAAAACAGAUCGGCCAAAGAAUAAGAAUCCAAAAAUUUCAACAGAUAAUAGUUUCUUGCACAGUGCAUAUGUUACACUUCAAAUGUAGACUGUAUUUAAUAUUUAAUAAAUUAGUUAAUUAGACAAUUUAAUGGAAAAAAUUGGUCAAAGGACUGCUUUUCACACACAAAAAUUGAACUUAAUAAUGUACGAUUGGAAUUAAAAAAUUAAAUAGCAUGUGCAGAUAGCAUUUAUUAGGACUUGGAAUAAAGGGUGUUUGUUAGGACUGGAGUUAAGUUAAUCAGGAGUUAGUUUAAUUGUUAAGUUUGUUACUUGUUAGCAUUUCUGUUUUAAUAUCUUAGCCUUUCUGUUUGUAUUUCUGUUAAUCAUAUGGAUUAUAAAUAGGACGGACUGGUCUGAGGAGAAGGGAGUAAAAUCAUUUUGUGAAAGUUUAAAACUAGAGAGUGCUCUAGUGAGGGGAGAGUGCUCCCUUGGGGUAACCUUGAGGGCAAGGUUAUCAUUUUGUUCAUUCCUAUCAUGUCCAUUCACUGAUCAGAAAUCUAUUCAAGGAAGUAUUCAUUUGAUUUAUCAAUUCUGUCCAGUUUUGGGGAAUUCGUUUGGAAUCCAAUUCAUGGGAUCCUAUUGGUUGUUUGUUUCAGCAAUAAAAACACAAUACACAGACACUUGGAGGGUACCUGAUCAUUAAAACAGGCUUGUGGACUGCCAGAUACUAGCAGUGAGAUAUGUGCAGAACUGCAGGUUGAUAUAUCGCAUCGCAUGGUCACAACUCCGCGUGAAAAAGUAGCUGCCUGGAGAGGUGGUGGAGGGGCACUAUACAACAGAAUAAAGGUAUAUAUUACAAUGUGGCAAUCCAUAUUCAUAUUUCUAAUGAAGUCCUAAUGAAAAAUAAAUGAACAUAAAAUGAGAUAAGAGUUAUCAAAUGUAUCAGUACUAGUCAUAUGAAAGAUUACCUAUACUUGCCAUGGAGCUUGCAACCACGUAUCUGAAAAGACAAGAAUAAGAAAAUUGAGAAAACUCAUGAAACUUCACCUUGAAGAAAUGAAAAAUUGAAACAAAAUGCUCUCAGACAAGAGAGUGGUGAAAAGCCACUCAAUAACAGGAAGUUAUCUUUUAUCAAUUUGUUUAUUUGAAUUCAUGCGAAGGCCACGAGACUGAACAAUGAUGGAUAAACAACAGUCCAGCAUAGAUUUACAGUUAACAUUUUACAUGAAUUCAAAGACACACUUAUCGUAAGAUUUUUGUAAAAUGAAAUUUUAUCCAAAUAAGUUAAAUUUGAUCAAAUGAUACAGUCAACAUACUUCAAUAGUUAAGAGAGCUCUGAGUCCAUCCUCCAAAGAUCUCAGCAAUGACUCAUCCUGAAAAGAAAAAAACCAGUUUAUAAUUGGAAAAAAUGUCCACUGUGGAUGUGGAUAUUUGAAUAACAAUUACACAUACAUGUAUUGUUAUAUGUGUUUGUGUGUUGAUCAUUUCUUGUCUCACAUUGGCAAACCAUUUUACUUUGUCAUGCAUUGGAAAAAAUUAUUUUAAACAUGCAUUUGUGGGUGUGUCAAUGUGUGACAGUUUUAUGAAUAUUUACUUUAUGUAAAUCAUUAUGCAAGCAUAACUGUGGUUUUAGCACAAAAAACAGGGAGUAGAAUUCCAAAGAAGCUUACAACAGUGGAAGGUGCACCACAGAUGAGAAAUCUCAAAUUCACUUCAUCAUCAUGAAUCUGUAUAGAAGGAAGAUUGCCUGAGGAACUUUCUUCAUCUUCUUCAUCUUCUUCACCCAUUUCUGGAGGGUCAACAUUAAUUUUGAGGCAGUCCCCAAGAAGGUGUGGCCCCAUAUCGCUAUCAGCAUCACUGCUAUCAUUAGGAAGUACUUGACUGUUUUGAACACAGUAAAGUUCGAAAGAGGCAUGUGCAAGGUGGAAAGCAUCCCAUGUAUGUGUACAGGAACUGCAGUAAAAUUGAAAACAGCAUUAAUCAUUGAGUAAUAUUUCAAAAUUCUUAAACAAAUUUUACUAUGAUUUCUUCAGUUUUUUUUUCCAUGAAACGAAAAGAAAAUAUAUCUAACCACAUAGUAUUACAUAAUCAUAGAUUCUUAACAAAAAUGAGUUAGAUAAUCAUAGAUUAACUACCAUGAUAUGUAAACUACUAUACAGGUUCACAAAUUUUACAAGAAUAUAUGUAACCAAAUAUAUGACUUGUAAGUACCAUAAUCAAACAUCAAUAUGACUUGUAAGUUGUAUUAUCAGUAUAGCAGUUAGAUUUAAGAUAUAAAAAGCCAUUGCAUAUAGUAUGUACCACGUUCAUGCAAUUAAUCAAUUACCAAAUAAACAGUGUCUUACCUCUGCACCACUGAAAAAAAUGCUUGACGAAAAUGGCAAGCAGCAUAUUGAGAAAAGGCAUUCUUCCAAAAUACAACAUACGGGAUUCCCUGCGUAGUCAAACAACCUGAAUCAGCCAAUAUUUCCUAUAACAAGGUAUUCUUGUGAGCGUAAUACAUUCUUUAAUCAUCAAUCACAGCCAAGUAUCAAUAAUGAUAGUAUAUUGAAUUUGAUAUCCGAGUUUUCUCAAGCAACUUAGACAAAAGUACCUUAAGACGAAGAGCCUCUGCAAAACUUUCUCCAUUUGGGAUUUCUAGAUAAACCUGAAAAGAUUUUGCAAAUUACAUAAAAUAAAAUACCAUACCAACAAUGAGACCUGAGGCAGGAAAAAUGUUAAUUUGUUAAUUCUUUAUUUAACAUCAAAAGAGAUCAUAUCAAUAUAAAAAUUAUAAGUAAAAUUCUUGAUCAAUGUAUCAUAUGUCGCAACAUCUCCAUACUAUACAUCUAUACUAUUCCUAGAUUUAUAGGCUCAUAAAUCAUAUACUAUUCCUAGAUUUAUAGGCUCAUAAAUCAUUAACCCAACAACACUUUUGUUAAUUGAGCAUGAAUAGUAUUGAGUAUAUCGAUUGGAUCAAUAUUCAAUAUUCACAUGACUACAAAUUAAAAAAUUAUAUGUAACACAGCUGAUUUGACAUUCAUGCAGACCAUAGUAUCGAACAUUCUUUACAGUAUAUACUUUUGACAGUUUUCUUUCUUUCUCCAAAAUCAAUAAUAGUAAGUAGUUACCACAAAAAAUUAACAACAUAGAAGGUAACACGUUUUAAAAUAUCUCCAAUCUGUUUCUUCACUAAUCUUUAUAUGCCUGACCUAGUACCCUAUUUUAUAUAUAAAGAAAAAAAGUGCAGUUUAAAGUUCAGAAUACAUACAACCGUCGGCAAUGUAGUACCGAAGAGCUCUGAUAAAUCUUCAGGUAUGGAUAAUUCCACACCUUGCCAAACCAGUGGACCAACUUCCUCAUUCACUAACUGCUCUCCUUGUAAGUAAACGAAACUCGGCUGAUACGAUUCAAGAACUUUACGAAACUGCUCCUUUUCCGGAUCACAGAGAGUUUGAACCUUCAUUUCAUAAUUUUUUUUUAAAAAAAAUAAAUCACAUCAUGCUAUUUCAAUGGUUAAAUGAAAACAAAAACAAAAUGGAAUUAAUUCAUUAUACACCAGCACUGUAAAGAUACUUCACAUUGUCAAUCGUUUAUAAUCAUCAGAUCACUAAAAAUAUUUGACUUCAAUCAUAACUACUUCUAAAGUCAUGCCUAUGAUUGAUUGUGAAGUGAUAUGUUAACAGUGUAAAACAUUUUAUACUGGCAAUGUAUCAAAAUUAAACUUAUAAAAAAUUAGCAAUGCAUAACAAAAGCUUCUAAGAAGUUCAAUUUGACGGUGUAAAAGAGUUUACACCGUCAACCAAUAAAAAUCCACCAUACUGUCAUGUAAGCCUAUUUACAAAUACUUUUUAGAAAUAACUACCAAAUACUCAAUUUUUAUUGGACGGUAAUUACACUUACGAUAGAUGUACAUGUGCCCUUUUCUGAACUUCUAAACCUACAUUGCAAUACUUUAAAGGGACAUGCUAACAAGUUCCCUAAGCGUACUAGUUAAGAAAGCAAAAAAAAUAGAAACUUUACAUCAGAAAUGACAAUUUUAAAACGUCAAAAAAAGUUAAACACACUACUUUUCAAGUCAAUUUUUUUAUAUUUUUAUUUUCUUAACAAGCUCCCUCAGAACACUUUAGCAUUAUAUGUGAAAAUUUAUAUACCUCAAGACGCCUCGAAGAAACUUCUAAACCUACAUUGCAAUACUUUAAAGGGUCAUGCUAACAAGUUCCCUGAGCGUACUAGUUAAGAAAGGAAAAAAAAUGGAAACUUUACAUCAGAAAUGACAAUUUUUAAACGUCAAAAAAUUUAAACACACUACUUUUCAAUUAAGUUUUUUUAUACUUUAAUUUUUUUAACAAGUUCCCUCAGAGCACUCUUUUGCAUUAUAUGUGAAAAUUUAUAUACCUCAAGACGCCUCAAAGAAACUUCUAAACCUACAUUGCAAUACUUUACAAGUGCCCUAAAACUCUAGUUACAAAAGCAAAAAAAUAGAAACUUUGCAUCAGAAAUGACAAUUUUUAAACUUCAAAAAAGUUAAACCCGCCACUUAAGUCAAAAAAUUUAUACUUUUGUUUUCUUAACAAGUUCCCUAAGAUCACUCUUUAACAUUAUCUGUGAAAUUUAUAUACCUCAAGCCGCCCCGAAGAAACCAACUCAGGAAAAGGGUAUAUGUGAUGAUUCUGUGGCUGCUUCAGCUUCUGCUCAACAGAACUUGUAGCAGAAGUAACAGCAAGAACAGUACAAUUCUGCUUAGAAGCACCUUGAGAAUGAAACUGCAACAUCGUUUAAUCUAAAAAAAACCAAAGCAACAACAGCAAAAAGAGUAAGUAAACAAAAAUUGAACUAAUAAUGAAAAAUUUGAACCGAAUUAAACUCACAAGUAGUUAGAAAACGAUUAGGUUUAGUUGGGAAGUAUUUUCCGAUGAGAAAAACACCGUUACGGUGAAAUUAUGGAGGAAUUGUGAGAUUUUGUUGCAUAGUUGGAUUUGGUGAUUGUUGAUUGAAAGAGAAGAGAUGGAUUUGGUGAUGAAGAGAGAAGUUGAAGUGUUGAAAAGUGAAAACCCUAACGCGGUGUGUGGAUUUGGAUUUGAGAUUGAAGAUUGAAUGAAGAUGAACAAGAGGAUUCGGAAAGCGAUGCGAGUUUUCUUUUUCUUUUUUCUUUUCAAGUUGUUGUUGUUCUUAAGGUUAAACGAUGUCGUUUUGGGGUUUUUUUUUUGUUAUUUGUGAAAAAUAGAAUGAUAUUAAUUUGGAGUAAUAAUCUUCAAAAAUAUAACUGUAGUAGAUAUUGGAAUUUCAUUUGCAACUUAAUUUGUUCUCCAACAUUCAAGUUGCAUUUCUACUAAAAAAGUAAAAUUGAAUAUGUGUUUGAGUUUAAAAUUGUUUUUGGGUUGGAAAAGAUUUGAUAAAAUUUAUGUCACUAAAUGACAAAUAAUUUUUUGUCAUAAUUACAAGUUGUCUAAAUAUACAUUAUCAAAAUAAUAUUUUGUGAUUUUCUUUUACAAUUAUGUUAGAAAAAAUUCAAAUUAUCCGCCUUUUUUAGAAAAUUUAUGAAUUACCCUAUUUUUGGGAAAAAAGAAAGGGCGGCUUCAUUGGCAAUAGAGUCAACCCAAGAAGGAAUGGCGCCACUCCCACCGGCGUCAAUGAAACAACUUUUUAUUUUAUUUUAUUUGGAAGUGUUUUAAUGGUUUAGGGGUUUUAAAGGUUUUGAGUUAUGAAGAUUUGAGGUUUUGGGUGUGUAGAAUAUUUUUAAAAUAAUUAACAUCAAAAUAAUAUUUUUGAUUGAUAAAAACACUUCGACGAUCAAGUUAGUAUUCGUGUAAUGGUUAGAAUGAUACAUACCUUAGCCUAGACUGUGAGUUAGACAUAUAGCAUAUAGAAUUAGGAUUUCUAUGCCUUGGAGUCUUCUGCAGUUCUGCCGGGCAGAUGUCCUAGUGGAUAGGUGUAGGAAGAUUGUUAAAGAUCUUUUAUCCAAUGGACCUGACAAGUUUGCAGGCCCUGCUCUGCUGUGCCUUUAGGGCAUACAUGGGCGGAUCUCUUCAAGACUUGGUGUGGCUAUAGCCACACUAGACCAACCUAGUUUUUUUUUAUCAAAAUAAAUAAAUAUUUUAUAAAUGAUUUCAAGCUAUUUUUAAAACGAUUUCAAGUCUAAAUAUUAAUUUAAAUAUUAGUUUAGAGUCUAUUAUUGAUGAUUGUAAAUCUCUCAUAAACAUAUUAAUUUAAGUAUUCGUGCAAAUAUUACCUCGUAGUAUAUUAUUGAUGAUUUCAAGUCUUUUGUUAUACGUAAAGUGUUAUUUUAAGUUAUAUAGUUUAAUUUUAUGCUUAAAUAUAAUUUUGGUCCCUACAAAUAUAAUUUUAUUUUUUUAUUUUAGGAUCUCUGCGAAUCUCAAAACUUUUAAAAUGAUCUCUAAAAUAGAUGGUAAGUAGAUUUCCUUUGCUAUCAUCAUAGAGUGUGUGUUUCUAUUCUACUUUGCUGAGUAGACUUUCUUUGUUGAAUAGAUUUUUAAUUGCAAUAUAAUAAUUGUUGAAUAGAUUUCUACUUUCUAUAAAAGGGAAAGUCGGUCAAAAAAUCAAAAUGUCGCUACCAAACCAAAACCUUGUUUCAUUGUUACUUCUUCCUUCCUUCUUUUUCUUCUCUUGAAAGAAAAACGUAAUGGCUUCAUAUGAUGGAUAUAAUAUAACACAACAAUAAAACAAAUCAAAAUAUACAAGAAAAAUAUUGAAAUCAAGAAAGUAGAACAAUUGAACAAAUGUCAGACGAUCUUAUCAAAGCGUACACUAGGACUUUCAAUAAAGUCGCAAAACUAUUAAUUCUAUGCAAAUCAAGAUUGUAAUAAUCGUCACUCCACCAAACGGAAAACUCUAUGCAUGUGGAUGUUCUAACCCCGACACCAUCAUUAAACACUUUCUUGAUGGAAAAACUCGGUCAUUGAGAGGUAAAAAAGGAAGCAAGAUGAGGAUACAAUUGAAACCUUUAUGAAGAUUUUUUGUGCUACACGGAUUCCUCGAAGACGAUUAGCAGUCACUGCUAACCGAACAAAGAUGAAAACGUCGUAAAUAUAACAUGAUAGCAUCAAAAGAAAUUACAUGGACGGUGAAAACAAAAAUAAUCUCUAUCAAUAAAUAAAUUCAUUUUUAUUAUUUUACUAUUUUUCGGCUCUCGGUAUGAUAAGUUUCUGGAUCCGUCCAUGGCUCAUAAGGGUAUAAUAGUCAAAUUUCUUGAAGGGUUUUUUUAUAUGUUUGAUGACACCAUUCUUUUUAAAAUAAAAUAUAUGUGGUUACGUCUUGAAGAUAUAUAUGUUAUGACAAGUGUAAGGCGAGUAAAAUUUUACAUUUUUUAGAAAAGUGGAGGUUUAACACUUUAUAAGUGGAAGGACCCAUAAACCUAAUGUUUUAAGGUUUUGAGUUAAGACGGUAUCCAAUUCACUUAUAUAGUUGCUCGGAUCCCAAUGUCCUUGAUCCCUAUCGUGACCCUGUGUGUGGUUCCCACUUAAGGAGAGACCCACCCAAUAUUUUUUGUGCACUUUGGACACAUUACGCAUGAUAUAUUCUUGCAUGAUUUUUUUUUUUAGUAUGGAUUUUUAGCAUUUUUUUCUCCUUCAAAAAACAGUUAUGGUCUCCUUAUUUUUAUCAUUUUGUAGAUUUGAUUAUCCUAUUUUAAAAUAUGACAUGUUUAGUCCAUCUAUCAUAAUUUCUAACUAUAAAUUUGUGAUGUGAUAUAUUUUAAACGACGUAACAUAUAAUAUAGUGAUGAGAAUGUACCAACAUCGAUGAAAUUUAAAGAAAAAUUAAUUAUACUGUCCACUUGCGGGACAUUCAUUUAAAGUCGAGUUUUGCUAUGUAUGGACUGACCCAUUUAAAAUAUGUCACUUUACGAAAUUAACCCCCCAAUUUUAAAAUCACGUAGUUUUAAUCUUUCAUUUGUAUUUUUUCGCUCAAAAAUAAUAAUGUGAAACACUCAACACUUAUAAAUUUUUUAAAAAAAAUCCAUGAAAACUUAAAGUUUAAUUAAUAUCACAUCAAAAAUUUUAAGUUCAAAGAAGUUAAAAAUUUUGAGGUAGAGAGUAGAGACCAAAAUUAUUAUUAAUCUAAUUUUCUUUUUAAAGAGAAGCACUAAUGUUAAAAGAACCCUAAAUACAGGGACAAAAACACGUUUAAUCUAAAGGAAAUAUUUGGUUAUCUUAUGUUAUUUCUUUGUCUCCUGUCUCAGUCACACAUUUUCCAUGUGUGAAUAUUCGAAAUUAUUAAAAUAAAUCUCCGUCCUUUGUUACUCCACCGUGUGGGGCCAAAUAAGCAAGAAGGUAAAAUAAAAUGUAAUAAAAUUAAAUAUUAUCAUUCAAUAAAAAAGUACUUUAAUAAUUUAAUAAUUCCAUCCCAAAAUAAAUAAAAACUGAUACCGGAAUUGUUCUACUAAAAAGACGAGCUCAGAUUUUUAUGAACAAUCUAAUGAAUCUAUAUCCUUAGUGAAAUUUAUUAAUUAUUUGAACUCAAUAUUUUAGUAAAUGAGAGUGUAAUUAGUCUAACAAAAUUUGAUUAUAGUCCGAGUAGUUAGUCCCAAACACUAUUUAUAGGUUGUUAUCUCUUAUACACUUGUUAUUGACCACGGGAAAAUCAUGCAACUUCACUUUAAUUAGCGAUGUGUUUAUUAUUAGAUGAAGGUUAAAUAAAAUGCAAUGAGUCCUCGUGAAUUAAGUUUAAUUGAUGGGUUUGAAUUUGGCUCUCUCACUUGUGUGUGUGAGGUUAUAAUAACUUUGUCAUUUUGUCUAUCUAUCAAGAAAAAAAAUUUCGAAUCAUGUACACUUCACUUACUUACCUUAAAAGUGAAAUUUUUAACCAUUAGGUUAUUUGACAAAAAAAAAAAAACAAACGCAAUGAAAUAAAAUAAGUUGAAUGCACUACCGGUGCAUUAGGUUAUUUGAUAUACCGCUUAAGUGGUUAAUUCUCAAAAAUAAAAAAUGCACUAGGUUAUUUGGUAUACCGCUAAAGUGGUUAAUUCACAGAAAUAGUUAGUGUUUAUUAAUUUGUGAUAGGUUCACAACUUAAUAUAAAAAAAUAAUAGAAUUAUAUCUUUGCAGUGUAUCGAUACAUAUUAAAAUAAAAUAUGUAUCAAAGUAUUCAUCUAAAAAUAGAUUAGUUAGUCUAGGAAAAUUUGAUUUUUUUUAUCAACUAACAAAAUUUGAUUUGAUUAUAAUCCAAGUAAGUUUUCUUUAAAUUUUCUCCCAGCAAAACUAGAUUCCUUAAUUUUUGAGGUUUAGAAUUUUUUUUUUUUUAAAAAAGAGAAACUGAUAAAGAAUCUAAUAGUAAUCUAAGAAAGAAAGAUGAUCAUUAAAAACCCUUUUUGCCCUUUUUGCCCUUUAGCCACAUUUUUUUUCGUUUUUGUUUGCUCCUUCAAGUAGGGGUAAAAUGGGAUUAUUUGGAUGAAAGUUCUCUAAUUGAUCUAAGGCCAAUUUUUUCGUCUAUGACAAUUUCGCCCUUUGCUAAAUACACUAAUAAUUUCAAUCUAUAAGGGCAACAUAUUGACCAAUUUGGGAAUUUCUCUAAAUUGUUUCACAUUUUCCAACCAAAAUUUGAACCACAAAGUCAAGUUGUCAAAUCCUAACAGCUAUUACUCCAAAAGAACACUCCUUCUCCCUCUACUUUGUUAACCGAAAAUAAGCAAGAAUAGAGUCUUCAUUCAAAAGCUCAAACAUUGUAUUUUGCUUUCAUUCUUUGUAAAGCACUUCCGAUGGAGGGGAUUAAAAAGGUAAACAUCUGUUGAACUCAUUCCUUCUAUUUCUUCUUUUGGUUUUUAUGGAGUCAGGAAGAAAAACAACUAAUCAUUUUUUGUUUGAAUUUAUAGAAAUCGAAGCUUGGAUCUACUACUUUGGAGGUAGAAAAAAGGUUAACAUCUUUUAAAACCGUUUAUUGUACUUGAAACUUAACUUUUUAAAACUUUCGAUGGAUGACAUAUGGAUUUUCGAUCUAGUUUUGUUCAAAUUUGUCUACUUUUUGUAUUUAUGCUGAAAAUACUUUUUAAUCUACUGCAGAAAUCUCAAGUUUCUCAUAUGGAGGGAGGAAAUAAGGUAAAUAUUUCUUUUAGAUGCAUAACAUAAUAUGAAUACAUCUGGUUUUGAUUAAAUUUGUCUACUUUAUUUGUUUUAUGCUCAAAAAACUUUUUAAUCUACUGCAGAUAUCUCAUGUUACUCAGGUGGAUGAUGGAACUAAAUAGAAUUGUAAAUAAAAGACUACUAUAAAUUUUAUAUAUUUAUCCUAUACUAUAUACUAAGUACAUUGGAUUAUCAAUUAAUCUAAAAUUAGAUUUUCCUUAUCUUAAAGACCAAAGUGAGAGUUUUCUAUGUAUGUUAAAGUUUAUAUAUUCGAUUUUUUUUUUUGGAUUAUUUCUAAAAUUACUUUCAACACACAACAAUAUUAUUUUAAUAUAUUACAAUAUAAUAUAAAAAAUGACUUAAGAAUCAUUUUGUUCUAUUCAACAAGCUACCUUCUUAUCACCUAAAAUUCUCUAACCAAUGUUAUGACAACUUUAAAUAUUCUUGAGUACUACAACUCUAUCACACCACUACUUGAGUACUAUAACUUUAUCAUACUACUACUAAAGCAUUGUCAAUUUUAUUUAUAUUCUUCUAUGAAUGAAUGAAUAAAAUCUAUUACCUCCAAUCUUAAAUAGAAGAUAAUUUUUUUUUUUUUUACCUCAUCAUAGACCAAUAUACACUUUAUUUAUUAUUCAUAUCAAAUUUAAUUUUUCUCUUAUUUAAACCUAUUAAACCUAUAAUAUACACCAAAUUUUCUAUGUUUUUCGUUGUUGUUUUACAAGUAUACAUUCUUUUUUUAAUUUUUAAAUAAAAGCUAAUAUAUUGAUUAUCUAUAUUUCACAUUCGUUAUGUACUUGGUACACACCCGUGAGUUCAUUAAAAAAAUAUUCUAACAUACAAUCAACUUUUUCCAAACUUAAUGACAUAAGUACAACUAGACCAUCUAUAUGCACUGUUUAUAAUUGUAUUACAACUCAAUCAACAAGCAAACUUUAUUUACAUCUAUGAAAAUCUAAUGAAAUAUUUACUAUUCAUAAUUGUACUACAAAUCAAAUCAAAUCUAAAACAAUCCUUCUAAAAGAUUUCUCUAUUCUAUGACAGUAAAAAAAAUGUGUAUAGUAAAGGGGUUUGAGUAUUGUUGCUUACAGGUGCACAUUUAUAAUUAUUUUCAACCUGUGAUCCGAUCCUCCCUCCGGUCCUAAAAAUAAGAGACAAUUUAAUUUUUACAAUCAUUUAUAAUCCAAUGUAUUUGAUUCAUAAUAUAGCUCCAAUACAUUAAUUUCUCACCAAAUCUAAAGAACCAAUUUUCUCUUAUAUUUAGGAUCGUAGAAAAUUUAUUUUAAUGGCAUAAGUAUUUAAACAAUGAAAUUUCAUCUCAUCAAUCAUCUUUGUUCUCCAAUUCAUAAUGUUUUAUAAAACCUACCACAUAAUAAUUACGGUACAUUUCAAUAAAUUUCAAUAAAUUAAAUUUUUGUCAACAACUUAACUCAAUCUGUAUAAAUAUCCCAAACAUAGGAUACAAUGUCUAAUAAAAUCUUAUUGAUAUAAAUUAUAAUUUCAUCAAGCCAUGUUUCAUAUUAACAGAAGAGAAGUCAUAUCUAAUUUUGUAACCAUUCAUGCACCUAAUCAGGUUUAUUUCAAUCUCAAUAUUGCCUCCAUAUUUGUGGUUUCAUAAUAUUGUUAAUUUUAUAUCUAACUAUAUUUAAUUUUGUUUUUAGACUGCUGCGGAAAUCGACCCAUGGUUUGCAGCAUGUCAAAGUAUUAGAUGAAGUUGUUCAUAUUAUGUCCUUCAAUAAAUCAAUAUUGCAUCCUAAACUAACAAAUGAUUUGACUGUAUUAAGAGAUACAUAUAAAUUCGUUGGCUAUAGAAGAAUAUUCUUUAGCUAUUUGGGUGAUAAUUUUUUCAAAAUUAGAAUUGAUAUCUCUCAAGUUGAUAAGGUGGGGAGGUGAGGCGAAUAACAAAGGGAUAACGUGGCUGGCAUGAGAUCGUAUGGCAUACCCGAAAGCACUAGGCGAUAUGAGAUUCCAAGAUUUACAUACUUCUAACUUUGCAAUGGUAGAAAAACAAAGUUGGAAAAUCACGACAAAACCUCAUACUUUAGUGGCUAAAAUCUACAAAAGCGAGGUAUUUUUCUAAUUAUACUCUUUUUGAUUUCCAUCUUAGUCAUAACCCGAGCUAUGCAUGGCGUAGUAUUUGGAAAUCUCGCCAAGUCCUAAUGAAUAUGGGUGUAGGUGGAUUAUAGGAAAUGGAACUAACAUAAAAGUCACGAGUGAUUCCUGGCUAAGAGAAAAUGUGGGACAAGGAAAAAAUUGAGUCUUUAUUCCCGGUGAAUGUUGCUAAUUGUAUUUUUGAUAUUCCACUAUUUGAUUUUCACGGUAAUUAAAUAAAACAAGUGCAGGUUGGUGCUUGAGAAAUCACACGGGAUAGUUUGUGAUGGCUAUAACCUCAUAGAGUCAAGCAAAAUGUUCCAUAAUUGUAGGGAAAUCAAUCACCUUACUCGAAGCUAUGAAAGAAAUGGAACGUAGAGGAAUCACAUACGUCAUUUUUGAAUCAGAUUCGAAGAGUGUGGUGGAUGUUAUUCACAACUUAUAAGGUGGUAACUCAAAAUUUAGUUCCUUAAUUUAUAAUAUUAAGAAUGUAUUGUCUUUAAAUUCAAACUUUAUGGUAAAGUUUAUAACGCGACAAGCGAGUGGUGGCUCACACACUUACGAGGGCAGCCAUUUCUUGGUCUAAUCGCUAUUCUUUUGAAUUGUUACCUCUUUGUAUUACAUCUUUAUUGAUUAAUAAAAUGAUACGAUUGUAUAAAAAAAACUCUGCUUUACACCUAGUUUACAUUUUUUUUAAUCUUUAAGGUGAAGUUUGUAAGGAGAUAAACGAAUAUGGUUGCUCACUCAUUUUUGAAUUAGACAUCAAAUCUUUGAUUACGCACCUCCUUAUAUUAGUUGAUUAAUAAAUGAAAUGAGUUAUGUGUGUUUUGCUUUGAAAAAUAAAAACUCUGCUUUACACUUUUGGGUAAAUAGGGUUUUACCCCCCUGUAAAAUAAGCCAAUUUUGCAUUACCCCCUGCAAAAAAAAACUUGGGAUUACCCCCCUGCAAUAUUAAGAUUCUCUCUUUUUACCCCCUNNNNNNNNNNNNNNNNNNNNNNNNNNNNNNNNNNNNNNNNNNNNNNNNNNNNNNNNNNNNNNNNNNNNNNNNNNNNNNNNNNNNNNNNNNNNNNNNNNNNNNNNNNNNNNNNNNNNNNNNNNNNNNNNNNNNNNNNNNNNNNNNNNNNNNNNNNNNNNNNNNNNNNNNNNNNNNNNNNNNNNNNNNNNNNNNNNNNNNNNNNNNNNNNNNNNNNNNNNNNNNNNNNNNNNNNNNNNNNNNNNNNNNNNNNNNNNNNNNNNNNNNNNNNNNNNNNNNNNNNNNNNNNNNNNNNNNNNNNNNNNAAUAAUCCUUUUAAAUCAUUUAUGAAAUCAUACGAUGGAAAGUAAAAACAUAUAGUAUUCAAUAUUUUAAUUAGCUUUUAUAAUUUAUUUUUGGGUAAAUAAGGUUUUACCCCCUGCAAAAUAAGUCGCUUGACAACUUGGCAUAGAAUUUUUAUUUUUUAUGAGGUGGCAUGCAUAUGUGACAUUUAAUUUUUUUUUUAAUUUGCACAUGUCAUUUUUAUUAUUAAAUAAACUAAAAAUUAAAAAAAUCAUAAUAAAUUCUUUUCUAAUUUCCCCUUCAUCCCUACCACAAUAACUUUCAUCAUUCAACAAGAACAACAACAUCAACACUACCAAGAACAACAACAACAACAUCAACAAAAUUAUCAACACCACCAAGAACAACAACAACAUCAACAAAAUCAUCAACACCACUAAGAACAACAAUCCAAAAAGAACCCAAUUUUUUUUCUUCCAAAAAUCAAUCUCGGUAAACCUAGAAACAUAAUCAUAAAUUUCUUUUGUUCUUCUAUUCUUCAUCCCUUUGCAACAACCCAAUUUCUUCCUAACCCAAAAACAUAAUUUUUCUUCCCAAUUCUUCAUCCCAUCAAUUCAAUCCCUAACCCAUAAAUUCAAAAACUCAGUUUCUGCCUUUAUAGGAAAUCCAGUUCCUAGUUCCUGCCUUUGUUCUUCAUCAAUCAUUUGUUUCGACGAAUUCGGCGGAGUGAUUCGGCGGAUUUCUAGGUUUUAUUUUAAAGAAAAAGGAUUAUGGGAUUCUAAGUUUGUGUUAGAGAAAAAAUAAUUUUGGGUUUUGAGAAGAAUAAUGAGAAGGAGAAAGAUUUGUGUUAUGUUACAGGAAAAGAUUGUGAGUUUUUUUUUUGUUGUUGUUAGAAACAAUGGAUUAACAUAUCUUUUUGAAUUAACAUAUUUUAUUUUUAAUAAUUUUUUUGACACAAUAUUUUUUAUUUUUUUAAAAACUAAUUAAGUGGAAUUUUUAAAAUUUUUGUCACCAAUUUAUUUAAUAAUAAAAAUGACAUGUGCAAAUUAAAAAAAUAAAAAUGAAAUAAAUGCCACAUAUGCAUGUCACCUCAUAAAAAAUAAAGAUUCUAUGCCAAGUUUUCAAGUAGGAGGUAAAAAGAGAUAAUCUUCAUAUUGCAGGGGGGUAAUCCCAAGUUUUUUUUACAGGGAGUAAUGCAAAAUUGGCUUAUUUUGCAGGGGGGUAAAACCCUAUUUACCCUUUAUUUUUUUAUGAUGAAGAGGGCAAAAGCCCAAGCUUUUAUAACGAGUUAUAAGAAUGACUUAGUGGUUGAGGUGAAUGAGAUAUGAGGUGGAAUGAUAAGAAGAUCAUGAGUUUGAUUCUCACCCUCAACAAGAACUAACAAUACUAAUUACUCACUCUACCUAAUAGCAGGGAGUUCGACGGAUCAUGGAGGAUGCUCUAAUACUAUCUUAGAAUUGAGAGUUGUGUCUAACUCAAUCCUACAAAACCGAUUUAUAAGAUAAAAAAAUUCUUACUUAUAAUCAAAUAUACGGGUCUUGCAAAACGAUUUGAGACUUCUUAUUGAUCAUGAUUCAUGAUCUAGAU